UAGGUGAUGAAGGCUAACUACAUUCCGCACUGUCAACAAUAUUGGGCAAGCAGCUGUUGAACGCCGUGAACUGAAUCAUUUCGAUCCACGUCCGUUUAUCAACUGUGAAUGUGAGCUAAAUCGGUCAAAAGGAGGAUCGUAAGGGCCUUGAUGGGCAACGCCUCCUUCAUGAGAAAGCAUAUUGAUUACUACUCCAGAUUCUCCCCUUCACCACUCUCAAUGAAACAAUUCUUGGACUUCGGUAAACGGACUUGAAUCUCAACGCUUUUAGUCAACUGAUUGCUAACGUCAUUGUGGCAGGGCAGGCUAUACACAGUGUACAAAACAUUAGCCAUACCUUCCUGAUAUUGAGUUGCACCCCCCUAAUUUAACCUGUCUCCUCGCCUUCAUUUACAUUGAUUGAAGUGGAUUUAACGGGUGACAUUAAAAAGGAUCAUAGUUUUCACCUGGGUAGUCUGUCAUGCAAAGAGCAGGUGUUUAUAAUGUUUUGUACACUAUAUAAAUAUAUAUAUCACACACACAGUGCAUUCGGAAAGGAAUCAGACCCCUUUGCCUUUUCCAUAUUUUCUUACGUAACAGCCUUACUCUAAAAUGAAUUUUAAAAAAUGUCCCUCAAUCUACACAUAUCCCAUAUUGCAAUAAAAAAAACUGAUGACAUUUACAUGAGUAUUCAAAAGCACCUUUGGCAUCGAUUACAGCCUCGAGUUUUCUUGGGUAUGACACUACAAGCUUGGCACAGCAGCUGGAGAGGCUAUGAGGAGCCUACUCACUUGGGUAGCCACUGCACUGGACAUCAACUGGUGAACGCCACAUAUGGGUCCCUCUGCUCUCUUGGCUGCCUUAACGGGCCAUGGUGCAGGUGGUUCCCCCCGGGCGCCAGCUCUGGCUGGCUCAAUCCCGUCGCAAAUCCUCUCAAGCUCUGUCAGUUUGGCUGGGAAGCGUCGCUACAAAGCUAUUUUCAGGUCUCCAGAGAUGUUUGAUCAGGUUCAAGUCCGGGCUCUGGCUGGGCCACUCAAGGACAUUCAGAGCCUUGUCCCGAAGCCACUCCUGUGUUGUCUUGGCUGUGUGCUUAGGGUUGUUGUCCUGUUGGAAGGUAAACCUUCACCCCUGUCUGAGGUCCUGAGCACUCAUCAAGGAUCUCUCUGUAUUUUGCUCCGUUCAUCUUUCCCUCGAUGUUGACUAGUGUCCCAGUCCCUGCCGAUGAAAAACAUCCCCACAGCAUGAUGCUGCCACCCAUGCUUCACCAUAGGGAUGGUGCCAGGUUUCCUUCAGAAGUGAUGCUUUGCAUUCAGGCCAAAGAGUUCAAUCUUGUAUUCAUCAGACCAGAAAAUCUUGUUUCUCAUGGUCUGAGAGUCUUUAGGUGUCUUUUGGCAAACUCCAAAAGGGCUGUCAUGUGCCUUUUGCUGAGAAGUGGCUUCGGUCUGGCUGCUCUACCAUAAACUCUCUACCUGAUUGAUGGACUGCUGCAGAGAUGGUUGUCCUUCUGGAAGGUUCUCCCAUCUCCACAGAGGAACUCUGGAGCUCUGUCAGACGGACAAUUCCUUCGACCUAAUGGUUUGGUUUUUGCUCCGUAUUUCCAAAUCAUGUCCAAUCAAUUGAAUUUACCACAGGUGGACUGCAAUCAAUUUGUGGAACCAUCUCAAAGAUGAUCAAUGGAAACAGGAUGCACCUGAGCUCAAUAUCGAGUUUCAUAGCAAAGGGUCUGGAUACUUAUGUAAAUAAAGUGUUGUUUUUUUUAAAUACAUUUGCAAACAUUUCUAAAAACCUGUUUUCGCUUUGUCAUUAUGGGAUAUUGUGUGUAGAUUGAUGAGGAUUUUCAAAAAUGUAUUUAAUCAAUUUUAGAACAAGGCUGGAACGUAACAAAAUGUGGAAAAAGUAAAGGGGUCUGAAUACUUUUCGAAUGCACUGUGUAUAUAUAUAUAUUACAUGGCCGAAAGUAUGUACACCUGCACGUCGAACAUCUCAUUCCAAAACCUUGGGCAUUAAUAUGGAGUAGGUAUCCCCCUUGGCUGCAAUAACAGCCUCCACUCUUCUGGGAAGGCUUUCCACUAGAUGUUGGAACAUUUCUGCUGGGACUUGCUUCCAUUCAGCCACAAGAGCAUUAGUGAUGUCUGGCACUAAUGUUGGGCGAUUAGGCCUGGCUCGCAGUCGGCGUUCCAAUUCAUCCCAAAGGUGUUCAAUGGGGGUUGAGGUCGGUGAUCUGUGCAGGCCAGUCAAGUUCUUCCACACCGACCUCGACACAGCGUAUGUGGGAACUCCUUCAAGACUGUUGGAAAAAUCAUUCCAGCUACCGAAGGUGGCACUGCAUCUCAGUGCUAGAGGCAUCACUACAGACCCUGGUUUGAUUCCAGGCUGUAUCACAACUGGCCGUGAUUGGGAGUCCCAUAGGGCGGCGCACAAUUGGCCCAGCGUCAUCCAGGUUAGGGUUUGGCCGGGGGUCUGGUGAAAAUGCAUGUGUGAGAACAUUGUUUACAUUCCUGCGACGGGAGCUACCUGUGAGGUACAAAAUGAAGGAGAUCAGGUUGUUACCAGAUCAUCUGCUAAAGACUCCAUCAGUACGUUUCACUGAUGCUGUUAUAAAGAUCCGAAACCGUCACAAUGACGUCAUCCCGACUGGCCCAGGGGGUUGUGGAGUACAAGGAGACCUAUGGCACAGACCCCAUCGUCAGCCAGAACGUUCAGUAUUUCCUGGAACGCUUCUACAUGAGCAGAAUAUCCAUUAGGAUGCUGCUUAACCAGCACAGUGAAUAUGUCACUUGUUAUAGCAGAGUAAAUCCAUUUGAAUUCAAUAACUUUUUUGACAGUAUUUCUUUUGAUUAAAAAAGAAGUGGUCAGAUAGGGACUUUUUGGACAUGAAUGACAAAACAUUCAGGAGAUAAGUUGACCCAUUUUGCAUGCCUCACCAUCACAUGAGACACGCAUGUCUUCAUCACUGGAAAAUAUAAGGUUGUGUUUGAUAUAAUUUAAAAGCUUACAAACUAUUUUAUAAUUUAUUUAAAAAAUAUAUUUUUUAAUCAAAUGUCAUUUUCUAACCUGAUAUGUAAAUGAGCUAAAAACACAUUAACUCCUAUUUUUUUUCAUAUUUGCAUACAGUGCCUUGCAAAAGUAUUCACCCCCUUGGCAUAUUUCCUAUUUUGUUGCAUUACAACCUAUAAAUUAAAUAGAUUUUUGGGGGGUUUGCCAUAAGCCGCCUCCAUCAUUUUAGAGAAUUUGGCAGUACGUCCAACCCGCCUCACAACAGCAGAUCACGUGUAACCACGCCAGCCCAGGACCUCCACAUCUGGCUUCUUCACCUGCGGGAUCAUUUGUGAGGGGUGCUGAGGAGUAUUUCUGUCUGUAAUAAAGCCCUCUUGUGGGGGAAAACUCAUUAUGAUUGGCUGGGCCUGUUUCCCCAGUGGGUGGGCCUAUGAACUGACUUUGAAAAUACCUUUUUGAUGAAGUACGACUGGAAUUUAUAUAUAAAUACCUUGACUAUUUUAAUAUUGGAAAAUCUCUUAUACAAUGAGUUAAAGUUAUGUGUAGUAACCCCAGGUGUAAAAUAGUAAAUAAUGUCUACAUCUCUGAAAGUAUUAAACUGUUAAGAGGAGUAAAACAAAGUUGUCCACUAUCGGCAUAUCUAUUUAUUAUGGCCAUUGAAAUGUUAGCUAUUAAAAUCAGAUCCAACAAUAAUAUCAAGGGUCUAGAAAUCCAUGGCUGAAAAACAAAGGUUUCAUUGUAUGCUGAUGAUUCCUGCUUUCUUUUAAAUCCUCUAUUUGGAUCCCUGCACAGCCUCAUAAAGGAUCUACUUCAUUUUUGAACCUCUGGAUUACAACUGAAGUGCACCGUAUUACGUAUUGGAUCGCAAAAAAAUAAAACUUUUACAUUACCGUGUAGUUUACCAAUAAAAUGGUCUGACGGUGAAGUGGACAUGCUCGGUAUUCAUACAUUUUAAUAGAAAGUUUGCAAAAAUAGGUAAGAUCUUGCUACCAUGAAAAGGUCAAUACCUAUCUAUUUGUGGAAAAAUCGCCCUGAUUUCAACUUUAGUCAUAUCCCAGUUGACCUAUUUACUUAUGGCCCUGCCUACACCUAACGGCAAGAAAAAUAAAUAUAUGUUUUACUUGGAAUGGCAAGUCAGAAAAAAUGUAAUGGGCCUGUUUAUAUAAUGAAUAUGAAUUCGGAGGUCAGAAAUUAUUAAAUAUUAAAGCAUAGGACCUCUCACUAAAAUCUUCAGUCAUAGAAAAGCUAUACUUAAAGCAGAUUUGUAACAAUGGCUCAUCCCAUGUUCAAGAAUGUCCUUUUUCCCUUUAUUCAGAUUACAACCGCUCACUUUAGAUUAUUGGAAAAUGAAAUUGUCUCCAAAAUAUCACUAUUUUUUAAAACAAGCCAUAUAAAGCUGGUUGCAAUUUCAGUUUAAUCCACCAGAAAAGGCAGAACAAAUAUUAUGGUUAAACUCAAAUAUACUAAUUGAUGAUAAAAUUAGAGAUAAAGAUCUUUGUAAAUUAUAUCAUAAAUAGGACUGGUGGAGUUAAGUCACACAUGCAAUUAACAAAAAUAUAUGGAAAUCUGCUCUAUCCAAAAUUACAACCAACUGGUUGCAGCAUUACCACAAAAAUGGAGUAGGGAAGUGGAAGAAGGUAAGGAACUUCUUGGUUGGUAUCAUUGUUUACCUAUUUAACUAAUACAUAUCGUCAGUACAGAAUUGCCAGUUAAUAUGACUUUUGCAUGGUUGUAUUUACACUACAUAACCAAAAGUAUUUGGACAUCUGCUCGUCAAACAUCUCAUUCCAAAAUCAUGUGCAUUUAAUAUGGAGUGGGUCACCCCUUUGGUGCUAUAAUAGCCUCCACUCUUCUGGGAAGGCUUUCCACUAGAUGUUGGUACAAUGUUGCAGGCACUUGCUUAAAUUCGGUCACAAAAGCAUUAGUGAGGUCGGCACUGAUGUUGGGGGAUUAGGCCUGGCUCGCAGUCGGCAUUCCAAUUCAUCCCAAAGGUGUUCGAUGGGGUUGAGGUCGGUGCUCUGUGCAGGACAGUCAAGUUCUUCCACACCGACCGACAAACCAUUUCUGUAUGGACCUCGCUUUGUGCACGCAGGCAUUGUCAAGCUGAAACAGGAAAGGGCUUUCUCCAAACUGUUGGAAGCACAGAAUGUCAUUGUAUGCUGUAGAGUUAAGAUUUCCUUUCACUGGAACUAAGGGGCCUAGCCCGAACUAUGAAAAACAGCCCCAGACCAUUAUUCCUCCACCAAACUUUACACUUGGCACUGCAUUGGGGCAGGCAAAGCGUUCUCCUGGCAUCUGCCAAACCAAGAUUCGACCGAGGAUGGACAAUUUUUACAGGCUACGCGCUUCAGCAAUCGGCAGUCCCGUUCUGCUUGUAUGAUCUACCACGUCGCGGCUGAGCCGUUGUUGCUCCUAGACGUAUCCACUUCACAAUAACAGCACUUACAGUUGACCAGGGCAGGAAUUUGACAAACUGACUUGUUGGAAAGGUGGCAUCCUAUGACGGUGCCACGUUGUAAGACACUGAGCUCUUCAGUAAGGCCAUUCUACUGCCAAUGUUUUACUAUGGAGAUUGAAUGGCUGUGUGCUGGAUUUAUACACUUGUCAGCAACGGGUGUGGCUGAUAUAGCCAAAUCAACACAUUUUUUGAAGGGGUGUCCACAUACUUUUGUAUGUAUUGUGUUGACUAUUAAAGUGUCCAUUUGUUGAACUUAGCAGUCUACCAUCUCUUGAAUGCAUAAACCAUUAGACCUCCCAGUAAAGCACAGAAUACAACCACAACAGAAUCUGGUG